AGGCUGCAGGGAGAUAGAAAGGUGGCGGAGGGGACAGGAGGAUCUAACACCAAGAGCUGUGAAAUCCUGCAGAGCAUUGCACCUCCACCAAUAUAAUAUCAGAGAACCAGGGACAGACCCCUAUAUACUGCCCGGGGAUGGGGGGUACCUACACCAUAAAGAGUCAUCAUAAAGAAUAUACAAGCCGGCCUGGUGGGAUCGGGAAACAAGGAGCGCAACAGCCGAGGCUGUGCGGGUCGGCGGCGAACAGCUGGUUUCGCAGAGAUCCUCCUCCAGCUGAAUUGCUCCUCCCCCUCCCAUCGAGAAUCAAAGAUGGCAUUGGAAUGUAGCAGAGAUAAGAUGUUACUUUCUAGAAGAAUACAUAGAAGGAGUAUUAACCAAUUAGCUUUUAUUCACACCCAAUUCACGUAACCUCCUGCACACAGCUUUGUAUAACCAUAUAAAUAAAUAUAUAGUCGCUUCCUCUGUAAUAAAGAAAGUAACAACUCAGCUGACAGGUGUCUG